AAAUAUUCAAGAUUCAAUGUUUUACAUUUAAUCUCAACAAAUAGAAAUAACUCUCUAUGGUGGAGAAUCUAAGGUAUACAAAUUGAAGAGAUAAAGAAGAAAUUGAAACCCUGGAGAAGAUGAAGGCCCUUCCCCAAGACAUCUAGCAACUACUUCAAUCUUCAAUCGUGCCUCUCCUUCACAUUUUCACCUCCAAUAUGUAGCUCAUCUUCCUUUUCAACCCCAAAAGAGGAAAAACCACCAUGGAUGAAGGAGGAAACCCAAGGAGGAAAGGAGAGCUUCCUAGUACUCUAAACAACCUCCAAGAGUCACUCCCAAGCAUCCUAGAUGAUUCUAACUGUAUAAAAUAAGGAAUGCCCUAAAACCCUCGCAAAAACAUGAUUAAAAUACCCACCUUCGCGUAUCAGGGCUGAUAAAC
rnacentral:lncRNA from 1 species